rnacentral:rRNA from 2 species
UUACGCUGGCGGCGUGCAUAACACAUGCAAGUCGAACGAUGAAACUUAGUAGACUUCUUCGGAAAGACACUAAGCGGAUUAGUGGCGAACGGGUGAGUAACGCGUGAGUAACCUGCCUUACACAAGGGGAUAGCCUUUGGAAACGAAGAAUAAUACCCUAUAAAACUAUAAAAGCACAUGCUAGAAUGGUCAAAGUGCUAGCGGUGUAAGAUGGACUUGCGUCUGAUUAGCUAGUUGGUGAGAUAAAAGCUCACCAAGGCAACGAUCAGUAGCCGGCUUGAGAGAGUGUACGGCCACAUUGGGACUGAGACACGGCCCAGACUCCUACGGGAGGCAGCAGUGGGGAAUUUUGCACAAUGGGGGAAACCCUGAUGCAGCGACGCCGCGUGAUUUAGAAGGCCUUCGGGUUGUAAAAAUCUUUUGUAUAGGAAGAAAAUGACAGUACUAUACGAAUAAGGUCCGGCUAAAUACGUGCCAGCAGCCGCGGUAAUACGUAAGGACCGAGCGUUGUCCGGAAUCAUUGGGCGUAAAGGGUACGUAGGCGGCUAGAAAAGUUAGAAGUCAAAGGCUAUAGCUCAACUAUAGUAAGCUUCUAAAACUAUUUAGCUUGAGAAAUGGAAGGGAAAGUGGAAUUCCUAGUGUAGCGGUGGAAUGCGCAGAUAUUAGGAAGAAUACCGGUGGCGAAGGCGACUUUCUGGCCAUUAUCUGACGCUGAGGUACGA